rnacentral:misc_RNA from 1 species
CCGAGUUUACCAACUCCCAAACCCCGUGUGAACAUACCGUCCCCGUUGCUUCGGCGGAGCCGCCCCGGGCGCGGGCCUUCCCAAGGCCGCCAGCCCCGGAUCCAGGCGCCCGCCGGAGGACCCCAAACUCCACUGUAUUGCAUCGUCUUCUGAGUUUUCCUACGCUCCCCGAGCGGAGAGAAUAGAAUCA